ensembl:lncRNA
UGAACCUGAACCCCAUUAUGGCCCCAUAGCUGCGAUCCCAUAUAAGAAUGAAGCACAAUUCGUUCAUUUAUGGGGCGCUAUGGGGUGAUAUGAGGCUUUAUGGGGUGCUAUGGGGCGCUAUGGGGCUUUAUGGGGUGCUAUGGGGCUCUAUGAGGCUCUAUGAGGUGGGGUGAUGGGGUUAUGGGGUGACAGUGGGAUGGGGUGAUGGGAUUAUGAACCUGAACCCCAUUAUGGCCCCACAGCUGCGAUCCCAUAUAAGAAUGAAGCACAAUUCGUUCAUUUAUGGGGCGCUAUGGGGUGAUAUGGGGUGCUAUGGGGCUUUAUGGGGUGCUAUGGGGCUUUAUGGGGUGCUAUGGGGCGCUAUGGGGCACUAUGGGGCUCUAUGAGGCUCUAUGAAGUGGGGUGAUGGGGUUAUGGGGUG